CUUUGAGAUAAGUCGUCAAGCAUAGCCCAAAAGUGACUGACCUGCUGUAAAACAUCUUCCCUUCCGCCGGUGCUGGACAUCAUACGAAGAGCCAGUCCAAGAAUUCAGCCACUUUGCUGUAAACCCCGGGAUGGUUCGGCUCGGCGCAGCCCGUCCCCCAACUCACGACUCCUGCAAGCCUCCAUAAAUUUUCAUCCUGGCAAACAAGAGGGCCCCCGCUGUCCCCCUGAUAAGUCCYGAUGGAAAAGCCGCAGCGUCGCUCCUGCUCAUCGGUACGCCUGUGGCUGUGGAGGAAUGGAGGUCCGGCCCAGUUGAUUUGCC